rnacentral:rRNA from 1 species
GAAAGAACACGGAGAAAAUUGAACAAGAACAACUUUGA